GACGAACGCUGGCGGCGUGCUUAACACAUGCAAGUCGAACGGAAAGGCCCUGCUUUUGUGGGGUGCUCGAGUGGCGAACGGGUGAGUAACACGUGAGUAACCUGCCCUUUACUUUGGGAUAACUUCAGGACAUUGGGGCUAAUACCGGAUAGGUGCUCUUGCUGCAUGGUGGGGGCUGGAACGUUUCGGCGGUUGGGGGUGUGCGUGCGGCUCAUCAGCUUGUUGUCGGGGUAUUGGCUUACCAAGGCUUGGGCGGUUAGCCGGCAUGAAGUAGUGACAGGCCACAUUGGGACUGAGAUACGACCCAGAAUGCUACGGGAGGCAGCAGUGGGGAAGAUGGCACAAUGGGCGGAAGCCUGAUGCAGCAACGCCGCGUGCGGAAUGACGGCCUUCGGUUUGUAAACCGCUUUCUCCGGUGACGAAGCGUGAGUGACGGUAAUGGGUAAAGAAGCACCGGCUAACUACGUG
rnacentral:rRNA from 1 species